UACGGAGGGGGCUAGCGUUGUUCGGAAUUAUUGGGCGUAAAGGGCGUGUAGGCGGCCGAUCAAGUCGGGUGUGAAAUCCCUCGGCUCAACCGAGGAACUGCACCCGAUACUGCUUGGCUAGAGUCCGGGAGGGGAUGGCGGAAUUCCCAGUGUAGCGGUGAAAUGCGUAGAUAUUGGGAAGAACACCGGUGGCGAAGGCGGCCAUCUGGACCGGAACUGACGCUGAGGCGCGAAAGCCAGGGGAGCGAAU
rnacentral:rRNA from 1 species